rnacentral:rRNA from 1 species
AGACCGGCUUACUGGUCGUGCUAUUGUACGUACUGGUAUAAUCGGUUUCUCCUUUCUGACGAACUAUAAUGCCAUUAAUUUGGUGUUUUAGGGAAUCAGGACUGUUACUUUGAAAAAAUUAGAGUGUUUAAAGCAGGCUCACGCUUGAAUACAUUAGCAUGGAAUAACGGAAUAGGACGUUUGAUUCUAUUUUGUUGGUUUCUAGGAUCGACGUAAUGAUUAAUAGGGAUAGUUG